rnacentral:misc_RNA from 1 species
AAGCCAAAAACUAGUCAACGAAGCAAAAUGUUUUCUCUUCAGCAACUAUUGCUCUCUCUUUGCUUAUCCUUCACCGUCUUUUCCUUGAUAGCUCAUGCUUCUGUUCCUCCCUCUGCUACCUUCAAAUAUGUUAAUGAAGGUGAAUUCGGGGAAUAUAUUGUGGAGUAUGGUGCAAAUUACCGAGUCCUCGACCCCUUUGCCCAGCCAUUUCAACUUUGCUUUUAUAACACCACUCCUAAUGCCUAUACUCUUGCUCUGCGUAUGGGUACUGUGAGGUCUGAGUCACUGAUGCGUUGGGUUUGGGAAGCCAACCGUGGCAACCCAGUUGGCGAAAAGGCCACCCUCAUC